AAGAGAAAGUGUUCCACACAUAGAACAGGGGGAGACUUGAAUCCUAGAGAAAACAAAACAAAACCUAACAAAACAGAAAUGAACCCUUGAUGAACCUCUUGCUCUGGACUGGUGCCCUGAAAAUGAAUGAAAUUGUUUUAAAGAUUACCAAGAAGAUAUAAAAUAUCAAAUGCGGCAUUAAUGUAAGAAUCCCCUGAAAACAUGCUGGUAUUUGAAAAUCCUGCAUUCCCAGGAAGGGUGUGCACAUGGAGGAUCCUGACGGUACCUGACUGUGUGCAGAUGCAGCAGCCCAAACUCUGACUCUGACCCUACUUCUGUAUCUUAAGCCCGGUAGAUCCCUUGCAACUAUAUGAUUCCUCUGUCAUCAGUUGGUGAUAAUGGUGCCAGAGAGGGCAGAAUUGUUUCAGAAUUCAGAGAGAGGAUGGCAUGUUAAAACUGGAAGAAAUAUUCUAGAUCAAGACCCUUAUUCAGUAGAUGAGGACAACGAAAGUAGAGAAACAGUGUGCCCGACCCAGGUCUGGCUUACUGAAAUUCCUGGUUGAUGUCUCUGUGCCCCCUAUUCCUGCCCACCUCUCCCACUUCCCGAGAAUGUUUAGUCAUGACAACCAAAAGAGAUUCGUUAAUCAGGGGACCCACUUUGGUGAAAGGAGAUGAUUCUGUAUCAUUAACUGAUUAAAUAAAACAAAUUCCAAUACAACAUUUACUUUUCUGUCUGCCACCCCUUGGAGGAAAAUUUCAAGAAGAAACAAAACUAACUAGCAAACUACAUGUUAAGCAUUCCAAUAUUCUGUUUUUAACAAAAUAUUUUAGCAUUUUAAGAAAAAGAAUAUGAGGACUUUAACAAAGAAAAACUGGACCCCCAUUGUAUUUUAAUUUUAACUUUUGAUGAGCCACAUUGUUCUAGCUAUAUUAAUUUGAAUCCAUCUGGCUUACACAGAGAGACAUUUCAAAUGCUUUCCAUAAUAGCGGGAAGGAAUGAUCUCAUGAGGAAAGGAUUUUUUCAUGCUGCUGGAUUCUUGGAGGCUUUUGCUGAGAAUCAUCAUGUAGGGUGAGGUGGAGCAUCAUGCAUUUAUUUAACAAAUAUGUAUUGAGUAGGUGACGUGCCAGGUACCGUGUCAGCUACUAGGUUUAUGAAAAUGAGAUUCGGACCUUAUUCUCAAGGAGCAUAGUAUCUAGUAGGAAAUACUAGUAUGUUAAUUAAUUACUAAUAAAAGUCACAGUAAAUGUAA
ensembl:lncRNA LINC02624 long intergenic non-protein coding RNA 2624